UGGGGAAUCUUUGGACAAUGGGGGCGAACCCUCGAUCCAGCCAUGCCGCGUGAGUGAUGAAGGCCUUAGGGUCGUAAAGCUCUUUCGCCUGUGAAGAUAAUGACGGUAACCGUAGAAGAAGCCCCGGCUAACUUCGUGCCAGCAGCCGCGGUAAUACGAAGGGGGCGUAGCGUUGUUCGGAUUUACUGGGCGUAAAGCGCACGUAGGCGGACCAGAAAGUUGGGGGUGAAAUCCCGGGGGCUCAACCCCGGAACUGCCUCCAAAACUAUUGGUCUAGAGUUCGAGAGAGGUGAGUGGAAUUCCAAGUGUAGAGGUGAAAUUCGUAGAGAUGUGGAGGAACACCAGUGGCGAAGGCGGCAUUCCUGGACCAAUACUGACGCUGAGGUGCGAAAGCGUGGGGAG
rnacentral:rRNA from 1 species